rnacentral:rRNA from 1 species
GACGAACGCUGGCGGCGUGCUUAACACAUGCAAGUCGAACGCUCAAGCUCAGCUUGCUGGGUGGAUGAGUGGCGAACGGGUGAGUAACACGUGAGUAACCUGCCCUCUUCUUUGGGAUAACGCCCGGAAACGGGUGCUAAUACUGGAUAUUCACUGAUUCUCGCAUGGGGGUUGGUGGAAAGGUUUUUUCUGGUGGGGGAUGGGCUCGCGGCCUAUCAGCUUGUUGGUGGGGUGAUGGCCUACCAAGGCUUUGACGGGUAGCCGGCCUGAGAGGGUGACCGGUCACAUUGGGACUGAGAUACGGCCCAGACUCCUACGGGAGGCAGCAGUGGGGAAUAUUGCACAAUGGGCGAAAGCCUGAUGCAGCGACGCCGCGUGAGGGAUGGAGGCCUUCGGGUUGUAAACCUCUUUCGCUCAUGGUCAAGCCGCAGCUUUGGGUUGUGGUGAGGGUAGUGGGUAAAGAAGCGCCGGCUAACUACGUG